GGGCUCCGUGGCGGGUGCGGCCGGCAGCGUGGCCGGCGCCGCCGCCAACACGGUGCUGCAGCCCCUGGUGUUCGAUCCGCUGCGGCGCCUGC
rnacentral:tRNA from 1 species